UGGUACUGAGACACGGACCAGACUCCUACGGGAGGCAGCAGUGAGGAAUAUUGGUCAAUGGGCGAAAGCCUGAACCAGCCAUGCCGCGUGAAGGAUGACAGCGCUACGCGUUGUAAACUUCUUUUGUACGGGAAGAAACACUUCUACUUGUAGAAGCUUGACGGUACCGUACGAAUAAGCAUCGGCUAACUCCGUGCCAGCAGCCGCGGUAAUACGGAGGAUGCAAGCGUUAUCCGGAUUUAUUGGGUUUAAAGGGUACGUAGGCGGGAAAUUAAGUCAGUGGUGAAAUCCUGCAGCUCAACUGUAGAACUGUCAUUGAUACUGGUUUCCUUGAAUGUAGUUGAGGUAGGCGGAAUGUGUAAUGUAGCGGUGAAAUGCUUAGAUAUUACACAGAACACCGAUUGCGAAGGCAGCUUACUAAACUACGAUUGACGCUGAGGUACGAAAGCGUGGGGAGCGAACAGGAUUAGAUACCCUGGUAGUCCACGCUGUAAACGAUGAUCACUCGUUGUUGGCGAUAUACUGUCAGCGACUGAGCGAAAGCAUUAAGUGAUCCACCUGGGGAGUACGACCGCAAGGUUGAAACUCAAAGGAAUUGACGGGGGCCCGCACAAGCGGAGGAACAUGUGGUUUAAUUCGAUGAUACGCGAGGAACCUUACCUGGGCUUAAAUGCAGAACGACGGACCGGGAAACUGGUCUUUCUUCGGACGGACUGCAAGGUGCUGCAUGGCUGUCGUCAGCUCGUGCCGUGAGGUGUCGGGUUAAGUCCCAUAACGAGCGCAACCCUCAUCAUUAGUUGCCAGCGGGUAAUGCCGGGGACUCUAAUGAAACUGCCGGUGUAAACCGAGAGGAAGGUGGGGAUGACGUCAAGUCAGCACGGCCCUUAUGUCCAGGGCUACACACGUGUUACAAUGGUCGGUACAAAGGGCAGCUACCUGGCAACAGGAUGCUAAUCUCGAAAACCGAUCUUAGUUCGGAUCGAAGUCUGCAACUCGACUUCGUGAAGCUGGAUUCGCUAGUAAUCGCGCAUCAGCCACGGCGCGGUGAUACGUUCCCGGGCCUUGUACACACCGCCCGUCAAGCCAUGGAAGCUGGGGGUACACUGAAGUCCGUAACCGCAAGGAGCGGCACUAGGGUAAAACUAGUAACUGGGGCUAAGUCG
rnacentral:rRNA from 1 species